AACGAACGCUGGCGGCAUGCCUAACACAUGCAAGUCGAACGAGAUCUUCGGGUCUAGUGGCGCACGGGUGCGUGACGCGUGGGAAUCUGCCCUUUGGUUCGGAAUAACAGUUGGAAACGACUGCUAAUACCGGAUGAUGACGAAAGUCCAAAGAUUUAUCGCCAGAGGAUGAGCCCGCGUAGGAUUAGCUAGUUGGUGUGGUAAAGGCGCACCAAGGCGACGAUCCUUAGCUGGUCUGAGAGGAUGAUCAGCCACACUGGGACUGAGACACGGCCCAGACUCCUACGGGAGGCAGCAGUGGGGAAUAUUGGACAAUGGGCGAAAGCCUGAUCCAGCAAUGCCGCGCGAGUGAUGAAGGCCUUAGGGUUGUAAAGCUCUUUUACCCGGGAUGAUAAUGACAGUACCGGGAGAAUAAGCUCCGGCUAACUCCGUGCCAGCAGCCGCGGUAA
rnacentral:rRNA from 1 species